rnacentral:rRNA from 1 species
AUUGAACGCUGGCGGCAGGCCUAACACAUGCAAGUCGAACGAGUGGCGGACGGGUGAGCAAUGUCGGGGAAACUGCCUGAUGGACGGGGAUAACUACUGUAAACGGUGGCUAAUACCGCAUACCAUCAGAUGUGCCCAGAUGGGUUUAGCUAGUUGGUGGGGUAACGGCUCACCAAGGCGACGAUCCCUAGCUGGUCUGAGAGGAUGACCAGCCACACUGGAACUGAGACACGGCCCAGACUCCUACGGGAGGCAGCAGUGGGGAAUAUUGGACAAUGGGCGCAAGCCUGAUGGAGCCAUGCCGCGUGUGUGAAGAAGGCCUUCGGGUUGUAAAGUACUGUCAGCGGGGAGGCGUUACCCGAAGAAGAAGCACCGGCUAACUCCGUGCCAGCAGCCGCGGUAAUAC